rnacentral:rRNA from 1 species
GACGAACGCUGGCGGCGUGCUUAACACAUGCGAGUCGAACGGAAAGGCCCUGCUUUUGUGGGGUGCUCGAGUGGCGAAAGGGUGAGUAACACGUGAGAAACCUGCCCUAGACUUUGGGAUAACUUCAGGAAACUGGGGCUAAUACCGGAUAGGAGCUCCUGCUGCAUGGUGGGGGUUGGAAAGUUUCGGCGGUUGGGGAUGGACUCGCGGCUUAUCAGCUUGUUGGUGGGGUAGUGGCUUACCAAGGCUUUGACGGGUAGCCGGCCUGAGAGGGUGACCGGCGACAUGGGGACUGAGAUACGGCCCAGACUCCUACGGGAGGCAGCAGUGGGGAAUAUUGCACAAUGGGCGGAAGCCUGAUGCAGCAACGCCGCGUGCGGGAUGACGGCCUUCGGGUUGUAAACCGCUUUCGCCUGUGACGAAGCGUGAGUGACGGUAAUGGGUAAAGAAGCACCGGCUAACUACGUG